UCGGAGUGAAAGGCUAAUCAAACCCCGUGAUAGCUGGUUCUCCUCGAAAUGCAUUUAGGUGCAGCGUUGCGUGUUGAUGAGUGGGGGUAGAGCACUGACAGGGCUAGGGGGCAUACCCGCCUACCAACCCCUAUCAAACUCCGAAUACCAUUCAAUAGAGCGCAGCAGUGAGACGGCGGGGGAUAAGCUUCGUCGUCGAGAGGGAAACAGCCCAGAUCAGCAGCUAAGGUGCCUAAAUUGUGCUCAGUGGAAAGGAGGUGAGGUUUCAUAGACAGUGAGGAUGUUGGCUUAGAAGCAGCCACCAUUUAAAAAAUGCGUAAUAGCUUACUCAUCGAGAGACCUUGCGCCGAAAAUACUUGGCGAUAAGCACAAUACCGAAGCUCUGGGUGUCCUAGUUUACUAGGGCGCGGUAGAGGAGCAUUCUCUGUGCAGUGAAGGGUGAUGGCGACUGACCCUGGAGCGCAGAGAAGUGAGAAUGCAGACAUGAGUAACGAUAAGAGCGGUGAAAUCCCGCUCCGCCGUAAAUCCAAGGUUUCCCGGGCAACGUUUUUCGUCCCGGGGUUAGUCGGGACCUAACCCGAGGCCGAUGGGCGUAGGGGAUGGUAAGCAGGUUAAUAUUCCUGCACCCAGUAAGGAGGACGCAUAAUGAAAAGCUACUAGGUUAUUGAAUUCCGAGGCGAGGCUUAGGCCGGACCGUAUAGCUGGACAGAGUGCCAAGAAAAGCCCUUACAUUAAUGGCCCGUACCGUAAACCGACACAGGUGGAUGGGUAGAAUAUACCAAGGCGCAAGAGUGAAACCUGGUCAAGGAACUCGGCAAAAUAGCCCCGUAACUUCGGAAGAAGGGGUGCCCCCUCUGGGGGGCCGCAGUGAAAUGGCCCAACCGACUGUUUAGCAAAAACACAGCAUUGUGCUAAGGCGUAAGCCGACGUAUACGAUGUGACACGUGACCAAUGCCAAAAGAUUACGGUAAGAUGUUAGCACUUUAGUGCGAAGCUUCGAGCCCAAGUCCUGGUGAAUGUCGGCCGUAACUAUAACGGUCCUAAGGUAGCGAAAUUCCUUGUCGGGUAAGUUCCGACCUGCACGAAUCGUGCAACGAGUUGGGCGCUGUCUCGACCAGGUGCUCAGUGAAAUUGUAGUUCCGGUGAAGAUGCCGGACACCCGCAGAAGGACGGAAAGACCCUAUAGACCUUAACUGUAAGCUGUUAUUGGUUGUUCGAUCUUAAUGCUCAGCAUAAGUGGGAGACAUUGAAGGGUGCGUUUAGGCGCAUCUGGAGUCAUCAGUGAGAUACCACCCUUUAAUAUUGGAUAAUCUAACCCCGAGCCGUCAUCCGGCCGUGGGGACAAUGGCAGCCGGUCAGUUUUACUGGGGCGGUAUCCUCCUAAAGAGUAACGGAGGAGCGCGAAGGUGGGCUCAGCACAGUUGGCAACUGUGUGUUGAGUGUAAAGGCACAAGCCCGCCUAACUGUGAGACCUACAAGUCGAGCAGAUACGAAAGUAGGCCUUAGUGAUCCGGCGGUAGAAUGUGGAAUUGCCGUCGCUCAACGGAUAAAAGGUACCUUAGGGAUAACAGGCUUAUCACGCCCAAGAGUUCAUAUCGACGGCGUGGUUUGGCACCUCGAUGUCGGCUCGUCGCAUCCUGGGGCUGGAGAAGGUCCCAAGGGUCCGGCUGUUCGCCGGUUAAAGCGGCACGCGAGCUGGGUUCAGAACGUCGCGAGACAGUUCGGUCCUCUAUCCUCUGUGGGCGUAGGAAAAUUGAAGGGUUCAGACCUUAGUACGAGAGGACCGGGUUUGACGCACCUCUGGUGUUCCAGUUGUUCUGUCAAGGGCACUGCUGGGUAGCUAAGUGCGGAACGGAUAAGCGCUGAAAGCAUCUAAGCGCCAAGCCAUUCCUGAGAUAAAUUUUCCCUGAAGGAUCGUGGAAGACGACCACGUUGAUAGGCUGGGGGUAGAAGUGCAGCAAUGUAUGUAGCUCACCAGUACUAAUCAUCCGUUCGACUUAAUUCC
rnacentral:rRNA from 1 species